rnacentral:rRNA from 1 species
GCUAUUGGAGUUCGAUUAAGCCAUGCGAGUCGAGAGUCUUAGGGACUCGGCGUACCGCUCAGUAACACGUGGGUAACCUGCCCUAUGCUGGGGAAUAACCUCGGGAAACUGAGAAUAAUGCCCCAUAGUCCACAAUGCCUGGAACGGUUUGUGGAUCAAAGCUCCGGCGGCAUAGGAUGGGCCUGCGGCGUAUCAGGUUGUAGGGGGUGUAACGUACCCUCUAGCCAUCAACGCGUACGGGUGUUGGGAGACAUAGCCCGGAGAUGGAUUCUGAGACACGAAUCCAGACCCUACGGGGUGCAGCAGGCGCGAAAACUUGGCAAUGCGAGAAAUCGUGACCAGGGAACUCCAAGUGGCUGGGGUAAGACCCAGUCUUUUCUUGACUCUUCAAAGGUCUUGGAAUAAGGGGUGGGUAAGGACGGUGCCAGCCGCCGCGGUAAUACCGGCGCCUCAAGUGGUAGUCGAUUUUAUUGGGCCUAAAACGUCCGUAGCCUGUUUGGUACAUUCGUGGGUAAAUCGACCAGCUCAACUGGUUGAAUUCUGCGAGCACGGCCAGACUUGGGACCGGGAGAGGUGUGGGGUACGCUCAGGGUAGGGGUAAAAUCCUGUCAUCCUGAGCGGACCACCUGUUGCGAAGGCGCCACACUAGAACGGAUCCGACGGUCAGGGACGAAGCCUAGGGGCACGAACCGGAUUAGAUACCCGGGUAGUCCUAGGUGUAAACGCUGUGGACUUGGUGUUGGGGACUCUCCGAGAUUCCUCAGUGCCGAAGCGAAGGUGAUAAGUCCACUGCCUGGGGAGUACGGUCGCAAGGCUGAAACUUAAAGGAAUUGGCGGGGGAGCACCGC